rnacentral:lncRNA from 1 species
GAACACAGAAUAAGUCAAGAUGGUUUGCAUCUCCUUAAAAAGAACAAGUACAACAUUAAAGUCCUAUUAGCGCAAGCAAGGUCAUAGAUGUUGUUUUGUUAUGAACUGUUUAUUAUGGUUCUCAGUCAUGUACAAAUGAACAAAAUAUAAAACAUUAAUAAGGUUAUUCUCAUGUAUAGUCUCCCACACCCUUGUGUGACUAUACCACCUCUGGCUCUGGAAACUGGAAGAGCAAAUUAAACAUAGGAAAAAAGGCAAAACUUUUUUAAAGGAACACAAUGAUCUUUCAGCUACUUCUGUCCUCAGCUGGUAUGCAACCCUAAGUAUUUGCCUCUCAUCACAUCUGUAAAAUUGUCUUCCUUCUCAUGUUUUACCAAUAUCCCUAACCUGUGGGCUCCUUGGUCUAAAAAGGCUUGUAAGCCAUGAUCCCAUGGAGAUUUCUUUGAUUUCAAGAUUCUUAACCUCAUUGUGACUUUGUUGCUUUCCAGCAUUUAGGCACCCAUCCUGCGUAUCUUGGGGAUUAUUUAAAAAUAUUAUGCCAAAUGCAACAAAACUGUGGGUGUCCUUCUCUUUUCACAGGAUGCCUUUUUUCUGCACUUGAGCACUGCAAUUAUUUUGUUUCAAGUUAUAAUACAAUGCACAACAUUUGCUUGCAGUUUGUAGAUGUGCUCCUAAUGGUCACUGGGUGUCACUAUUGGUCUUUGCUAAGUAAUUUUGUACAAGUUUCAGAAGAUCUUAAUAUGGUAGAAGAACAAAGAUUAUUGAUGGUUUCCUGACUACGGUGAGUAUCGUUACUAUAUUCCGAAAUGUGUAUUUGUAAAUAACUGUGGAGAAAUACAGAAUAGUAUAUUAGAUUAUAUUUAAUGUAACAGUGAAGCAAUUGAGAAAAAUAUUGUACAUGACUUCAUGCACAUAGGUAACAGGCUAGUAAUAUUUCCUGUAAUGUUGUCUUCUUCGGAUUAAAUUGUCAAUAAGAGUGGCUGAAACCCAUAACGAAACCUGAAAACUUAUUAUUCUUCAUGCAUCACAAACCCUACAAAACAAGUGGAACCAAUCAGUACAAAAUUAAAGCAAUGAUAAAAAUUAUGAUAUGGGAAAUCAUUCUUAAUUGAAACUUGGUGAGGUAUUUUCAGCCUGCUCCUGCUGGCCUGUCACAGUGCCAGCAAUAACUCUGGCUUUUAAAAUGUGGAACAUGUUCAGAUUUCUUUACUGGGCAUCACUGUGGGUGUCAGGAGUCAGUCUAACAGAGACCAUGAUGGCAUCUGAGGAAGAGGCUUUGGAUCCCACAGAAGGUUCCAACACAUCUGAGGAGCCUUUUAAGUAACCCGGACACUGGGAAAUCUACUUACUAGAAUUCAGAUGACUAUAGGAUGGUCUUAUCCUAGUAAUCAUUUCACGUGGAACUGACACAAGAAUCCACAAAUACUUGAAAUUCAUCCAUUUCCCCACUUUGCUAUUCACAAUUUUGAAUUAGAAAUUUCAGUCCCAAAUACGGAUUUUGAAUGUGAUGCUUUCAGCUCAGGAUUAGACAUUCUAUUGCUUUGGACUCGUUGGCAUUUCUUGACUAUUUUGAUUUUGACAAACCUCAGUGUGGAACAUUUUCCUGAAAUGGAGAAGUUUGAAAAUCACUGUGGUACACCAUUGCAUGUCUGCUGUCAAGAUUGACGAAUACAAAAUGUUACGCUGUUAUAGAUCAACUCCCAGGUAUGGAGAAAAUAUCAGCUGCCAUAUAUCAUACAUUGAAAUUAAAAAACCAUUGGAUGCCUAAAAUAGUGACAUUUAAUAUUCAGAGAAGAUUUGAGCACCCAGUGGACUUGUGGAUAGUAUUUUUAUUUUAAAUAAUGGCAAAAGAGAUUUUUGAGAAGCAUCUUUAGGAGCAAGUUCAUUUCAAUUCUGACCUGUUAACAGCAAUCUGAGGUAUUUUUGUUGUAUAAAUGAAUUAAACACCACACCUUUUUUCCUAACAGGUUGCAGCAGUUAACAACAAAUCACAGCACUAAUUUUUGACAAAAUAAACAUGUUUACAUCCUUUUUGAAAUCCAGAGAUGUUGACUUCUCAACCUCCUCUGACAGGACAUUUUGGAACUUAAGGAAGAAUACCGUACAUUUUUUUCUGCCUGAAGCAAAGGAAAAGAUUAUUCUCUCUCUCUCUCUCUCUCCUUGUACAGAAUCUGACCAAACUGGCUGUAGAAUCUUUUUUUGAUAACUCAGGUAGAAUGGUGGCUGGACUGCUGCUGUUUUGUAUCAGCUGCCGCCUGAGGCAGACGCCCCACUCUGCCUAAUGUUAGGGCUAUUCCUACUAAGGAAGCUGUGCAGUGAAGCCCUGGUAAUAGCAGCCACAAUCUAAACUGACACAUGGAAGAAACAACAAACAGUACCUGUUGAUCUGACCUCAGUAGAUUGUCAAUGGCGGCUACAUGGCCACUUUAAUCCAUAGAAACAGUUGCCCUCAGUGCUCUGACAAUAGUUUUUCCAGUUUUGUUACCCAUCACUGCACUUUUUAACAAUUCUAAUAGAUCCUUUCUGGAAAGGGAUGCUUGGAACUAUUAACUCAAUAUUAAUAUUUCAUAUACAAAAAUGAAAUAAAGCUGAAACAUUUUGUUUUCCUUGCCAUGUUAAACAGGUUUCUAAGCCAUGCUUUUAAUAUUUUUUAAAAAUAUAUUUUUUUACUGGAAUUUUCAGUACAGAAAGAAAUGACAUAUACAGCAACAUGCCAUCAAAAUUAAAUAAAUACAUCAAGACAAGAUAAAGCAUAUAUAUAUAAGGUAUAAAAAUAAAGGAAAAUGGAGCUUACAUAUACUUGUAAAAAUGAAACCAAGAAAAUCAUUUCAUUUAAGAAAAUGGAAGAAGGAGGUUUUUUCCAGUAAAAAUGUUUCAGUAUGCUAUGGUGAAUAAACAAAAAAUAGCUGUAUUAAGGGCAUGUUAUGUAAUCAGACAAGAAAAGGACAAUAUGGUAGAAGCAUGAGCUAAGGGAGGGCUCCCAUCAUAUAUACCUGGAGGUCACAACCAUUCUGCGCAGAAUGUAUCUUUGUUGGAUUUUAACUUUGUCAAUUUUUCCAUCCAUGCCAAACUUGGGCAUAGCUCAGUCAAGUUUCCAUUAGUCUGCUUCCAAUUAUGAGCCACCGCAAUGCAUGUUGCUGCAAAGAAAGAGCUUAACAUGUCUUUCUUAAAAAAAAACCAACAACAAUCUUACCCUCGUCAACAAAUUUAGAGAGCAAUGCCAUGAGUUGGUCAGGCAUUAAAUUCUGUCCAAGGAUCGGCUGGAUUUCACGAAAUAUAUUUCCCCAAAUAUUCUUUGAUCACUGGACAUGUCCACCACAUAUGGAAAAAUAAACAUGCCUAACUCUCCAUACCCUCUCCAGCAACUGUUACUUUGAGCAGUUCCACUUAGGGUGUGGAGUUGGGUACCAUCUUUGGGCUACUUUGAAGGAAUGACACUAGAGUUUGUCCAAGGAAGAGAGAAAUGGAUUCCACUCUCAGAUCUGAACCUAUUUUUCAGAGUCAAGGCUUUAGAUCUUUUUUUAGCAAACCAGUGUUAACCUUUCCCCCCACUUUCUCUCUUUAAUGGAACACAGUUUGUCUCUCUCCCCAUGUCCUCAUUUUGCAAUUUGCUCUUUGCUCUGCAGUGAAAAAGGUCAAGAGUAAAGGCAUUAGAGACAGCAAAUGAAUGCAGAUCCCAGCUGAAAGGAACGAGAAUCCAUAAUAGUUUCCAGCAUUUAUAGUAUGAACAUUUUGAUGCAGUAAUUAUUAUUUUUUGUAAAAUGCUAUGUAAAAAUUAAUUGUUAAUCCUGUUAAGAGUGGAUGAGUGCUUUUCAAAAUAAACAACAGGUUUGUUUUUAAACCCCACACAGACUCCCAGGUUUCUAGAGAAUCUUAGCCUUCUCCAUUGGCAUUCUGCAGAUGAGGAGCUUUUCCCUGCCUGUGACCAUAUCAUGGAGGGUCAGGAAUGCAAGAAGUUAAAGUGUAGAAAUUAUAUAUAAUUUGUAGCGCUCUGUGUUACCUUUGUUUCUUCCAACCCUGCUUCCAUCUUAAGGAUCAACAAUACCUUUUGCUAUGAUUGGUUAACCUUUCUUUCACCCAAACCCUAAUCUGUCUUCCAUUUUAAGGGGGGAAAGUGUGUCCUGCUACGAUUGGUUAAUCUUUAUUUCACCCCACCUUGUGACCUGAAGCAGUCACACCAUUGCAUAAAUUUUACAAGUGGGCUAUAAAUGUGCAAUUAACUAUUAUGUUAAGGCUCUUCAGCUGGGUUCAAUUGGGCUUUUAUUCUGCAUCUUCUGGAGGGUAGAGAAUUUUCAUUUCAAAACACAAAUCAAUUGUCUGGUAUUAUUGAUCUUCCAGUACUGUGUAAGAUCUGAGUUAUCUUUGUACUUCUUUACCAACUCAGGCAAAUAUUAGAAGCUUUUCUAUAGUUGAAAAAUCAUCCUGAUAUGAGCAAGUUUGGAUUGUGACAUUGUAAAUAAAUCUUACAUAUUGUAAGAGAUUUAAAAGACAAUGUACAGCAGAUAGGCUUGUUCAUAAAUCACUGGAAUCUGAAAUAUGAAUGUAAUUUUAAACUGUGUGUAUUAUUUUCAUUGAUAUAAGUCUGACUCAUUGCUACAGUUGAAAUUUUCAACUAUUGCAUAUUUUCUAUGCUAUACAUAUUUGGGUUUAAAUAUAGGAUGAUUUAAUAGUAAGGUUUAUGUAUGUAUUUUCAUAACUGUAAUUAUGUAAUUAAAGUAACAUUAUAAUUAAAAAACAACAACCUCUGUUUCCUU